rnacentral:rRNA from 1 species
UUUUUAACGAGAGUUUGAUCCUGGCUCAGGAUGAACGCUGGCGGCGUGCUUAACACAUGCAAGUCGAGCGCGGUCCCUUUGGUGCUUGCACCAAAGAAGACUGAGCGGC